UCGUAACAAGGUUUCCGUAGGUGAACCUGCGGAAGGAUCAUUACUGAGUGCGGGCUGCCUUCGGGCGCCCAACCUCCCACCCGUGACUACCUAACACUGUUGCUUCGGCGGGGAGCCCUCUCGGGGGCGAGCCGCCGGGGACUACUGAACUUCAUGCCUGAGAGUGAUGCAGUCUGAGUCUGAAUAUAAAAUCAGUCAAAACUUUCAACAAUGGAUCUCUUGGUUCCGGCAUCGAUGAAGAACGCAGCGAACUGCGAUAAGUAAUGUGAAUUGCAGAAUUCAGUGAAUCAUCGAGUCUUUGAACGCACAUUGCGCCCCCUGGCAUUCCGGGGGGCAUGCCUGUCCGAGCGUCAUUGCUGCCCAUCAAGCCCGGCUUGUGUGUUGGGUCGUCGUCCCCCCCGGGGGACGGGCCCGAAAGGCAGCGGCGGCACCGUGUCCGGUCCUCGAGCGUAUGGGGCUUUGUCACCCGCUCGAUUUAGGGCCGGCCGGGCGCCAGCCGACGUCCAACCAUUUUUCUUCAGGUUGACCUCGGAUCA
rnacentral:misc_RNA from 1 species